rnacentral:lncRNA from 1 species
UCAGGAGGUACAUGUGCAGGUGUUUUACCUGGAUCUAUUGGAUGAUGCUGAUGCUUGGAAUACAAGUGAUUCCGUCACCCAGGAUAUAUCAAGUACCAAAAAGCAAGCUUGUCCAGGCAUGGUGGCUCACACCUGUAAUCCCAGCACUUUAGGAGGCCAAGGCAAGUGGAUCACUUGUGCUCAGGAAUUGAAGCCCAGCCUGGCCAACAUGGAGAAGCUCCAUCACUACUAAAAAUACAAAAAAUUAGCUGGGUGUGGUGGCGUGCACCUGUUAUACCAGCUACUUGGGAGGCUGAGACAGAAGAAUUGCUUGAACUUGGCAGGCGGACUUUGCAGUGAGCCGAGACCAGCGACUGUACUCCAGCCUGGGUGACAGAGCAAGACUGUGUCUCAAAAACCCAAAAAAAAAAAAAAAAAAAGAAGCAAGCUGCAAAUCAGUCAAUAUAUGAAAAUCCAACGUGGCAUGCUACUACUUUUCAUAUAAAAAAGAGAGGAUACUAUAUAUAUAUGAAAUACAUGACUUUUUAAUAUUUAUAUCUUAUAUUAAUAACACUUAUUUACUACUUUUAGUUUAUCUUUUAUUAUUU